rnacentral:rRNA from 1 species
AUUGAACGCUGGCGGCAGGCCUAACACAUGCAAGUCGAGCGGAUGAAGGGAGCUUGCUCCUGGAUUCAGCGGCGGACGGGUGAGUAAUGCCUAGGAAUCUGCCUGGUAGUGGGGGAUAACGUCCGGAAACGGGCGCUAAUACCGCAUACGCCCUGAGGGAGAAAGUGGGGGAUCUUCGGACCUCACGCUAUCAGAUGAGCCUAGGUCGGAUUAGCUAGUUGGUGGGGUAAAGGCCUACCAAGGCGACGAUCCGUAACUGGUCUGAGAGGAUGAUCAGUCACACUGGAACUGAGACACGGUCCAGACUCCUACGGGAGGCAGCAGUGGGGAAUAUUGGACAAUGGGCGAAAGCCUGAUCCAGCCAUGCCGCGUGUGUGAAGAAGGUCUUCGGAUUGUAAAGCACUUUAAGUUGGGAGGAAGGGCAGUAAGUUAAUACCUUACUGUUUUGACGUUACCAACAGAAUAAGCACCGGCUAACUUCGUG